ensembl:lncRNA
AUGUUCAGCUGCCCCAGGCUUCAUUCCAGAAGUGUGCCAAGGAGAUGGGAAGCCAGCACCCAUGAACCCAAGAGGAGCCCUGGUCAAGGAAAAGGUCUUGCUUUUAUCAUUGCUUUGGGUCUCAUUGAUCCCUGGCUUUGUGGACUCAAGGGAAAACUGAAUCCAAGAUAUUUCAUAGCUGGCCAAAGUUACAAGCUCAGAUCCCAUUGUUGUUGGAUAUUGAAUUCUAAUUCAGGUAAUUAAAUUUAUUGAUUGCCCUUUUUACUUUAGGAGAGACCUUAUCAAAUUCAUCAUAUAUUGGCUGAAAGUGUCUCAAUAUUUUCUACUUUGUUAUUGCCUGUAAUCCCAGCACUCUGGGAGGCCGAGGCAGGUGGAUCGUUAGGUCAGGAGAUUGAUACCAUACUGGCCAACAUGGUGAAACCCUGCCUCUAUUAAAAAUACAAAAAUUAGCUGGGCAUCGUGGCACGUGCCUGUAAUUUCAGCUACUUGGGAGCUUGAGGCAGGAGAAUCGCUUGAACCAGGGAGUUAGAAGUUGCAGUGAGCAGAGAUUAUGCCCCUGUACUCCAGCCUGGUGACAGAGCAAGACUCGUCUCAAAAAAAAAAAAAAAAAAAUUGUUACACAACAAACCACAUUUGUUUUUCGGUUUGCUUUGCUACAACAAAUUGCAGUCACCAUGCAUCACGAAAUGUAUGACAUACUUUCUUCCAGUCUUUUUUGUCUUUACCUUUCCAAUUGUGGUACUAGUUAUUACAGUUUCACUCAAUUCUGUAUCAAUAAUAUGCCUU